rnacentral:rRNA from 1 species
AUCAUUUAGAGGAAGGAGAAGUCGUAACAAGGUUUCCGUAGGUGAACCUGCGGAAGGAUCAUUGUCGAAACCUGCAAAGCAGACCGUGAACACGUGUUUAACUUCAUCGGGCGUGGUGUGAGGCAACUCUCGCCGUGUCCCGCCCCCGACGGUGCUUGCUCUCGGGCAAAGCAUUGUGCGGGCUAACGAACCCCGGCGCGGCAAGCGCCAAGGAAAACUGAAUUUAGUGUCUCCCCCUGCAUCCCGUCCGCGGGUCGUKYGGGGGUGUUGAUGUCUAACGAAUGUCGUAAUGACUCUCGGCAACGGAUAUCUCGGCUCUCGCAUCGAUGAAGAACGUAGCGAAAUGCGAUACUUGGUGUGAAUUGCAGAAUCCCGUGAACCAUCGAGUCUUUGAACGCAAGUUGCGCCCGAAGCCGUCAGGUUGAGGGCACGUCUGCAUGGGCGUCACGCAUCGCGUCGCCCCCUCCCCGUGCUCAAUGCAUGGGUGGGGCGGAUAUUGGCCUCCUGUUCGCCUCGGUGUGCGGCUGGCCCAAAUACGAUCCCUCGGCGACUCGCGUCGUGACUUGUGGUGGUUGAAUAUCUCAAUCUCGCGUCUCGACGUGCCGUCCGUAUGCAUCGAUAAAAGACCCAAUGGUUUCGGUGCCUCGCACCGUGCCUACGACCGCGACCCC